GUUUCCCUCAAAUUUUCCCCACCCACCCUUCUAAAUAGAUUAAAAGAAGAAAGAAAAGCCUCGACACAAACAAAACAGCUUAGCAAUAGAAACUGCCAAGCCUUCAUCUCCCAGCCUCAAAAUUCUCAUUCUUUAGGCGUACGAAUAUGCUCGAGAGUCUGUUGCCACAAGUCAGGAAGCAUGGAGAUAUUCUAAGAGAGCUUCAGAUUUGAAGCUUUUGGAGACAAAUUUAAAAGGAAAAGCUG